GAUAAUUCUCAGGGCGGGGUGAAAUUCCCUACCGGUGGUGAUUGUCCUUAGGGGCAUAAGUCCGCGAGCGCCUUCUUUAUUUAGAGAAGGGUCAGCAGAUUCGGUGAGAAUCCGGGACCGACGGUUAUAGUCCGGAUGGAAGAGAAUGUAG
rnacentral:ncRNA from 2 species